GAUGAACGCUAGCUGCAGGCUUAACACAUGCAAGUCGAGGGACCGGCGCACGGGUGAGUAACACGUAUCCAACCUGCCCUUUACUCGGGGAUAGCCUUUCGAAAGAAAGAUUAAUACCCGAUGUAAAGGAUGGGGAUGCGUUCGAUUAGGUUGUUGGUGAGGUAACGGCUCACCAAGCCUUCGAUGGAUAGGGGUUCUGUGAGGAAGGGCCCCCACAAUGGAACUGGGGCACGGUCCAAACUCCUACAGGAAGCAGCAGUGGGGAAAGUUGGUCAAAGAGCGUUAGCCUGAACCAGCCAAGUAGCGUGAAGGGUGUAAGGUUGUGGGUCGUUAACUUCUUUUAAAUAAGAAUCUGUAAUUAAUGAAUAAGGAUCGGCUAACUACGUGCCAGCAGCCGCGGUAAUAC
rnacentral:rRNA from 1 species